AAUAGAUACCCGGGUAGUCCACGCCCUAAACGAUGUCAACUAGUUGUCGGGUCUUAAUUGACUUGGUAACGCAGCUAACGCGUGAAGUUGACCGCCUGGGGAGUACGGUCGCAAGAUUAAAACUCAAAGGAAUUGACGGGGACCCGCACAAGCGGUGGAUGAUGUGGAUUAAUUCGAUGCAACGCGAAAAACCUUACCUACCCUUGACAUGGCAGGAAUCCUGAAGAGAUUUGGGAGUGCUCGAAAGAGAACCUGCACACAGGUGCUGCAUGGCUGUCGUCAGCUCGUGUCGUGAGAUGUUGGGUUAAGUCCCGCAACGAGCGCAACCCUUGUCAUUAGUUGCUACGAAAGGGCACUCUAAUGAGACUGCCGGUGACAAACCGGAGGAAGGUGGGGAUGACGUCAAGUCCUCAUGGCCCUUAUGGGUAGGGCUUCACACGUGCUACGAAUGGCCGGUACAGAGCGCUGCCAACUCGCGAGAGGGAGCCAAUCGCAUAAAACCGGUCUCAGUUCAGA
rnacentral:rRNA from 1 species